UUCCGGUUGAUCCUGCCGGACCUGACUGCUAUCGGAUUGAUACUAAGCCAUGCAAGUCUUUGUAGUAAUACAAGGCAUACGGCUCAGUAACGCGUAGUCAACCUACCCUAUGGAUGGGGAUAAUCUCGGGAAACUGAGCAUAAUACCCAACAGAUCAUCAAUUCUGGAAUGGUUGAUGAUUCAAAUGAUUUUUCGCCAUAGGAUGGGACUGCGACCUAUCAGCUUGUUGGUGAGGUAAUGGCCCACCAAGGCAAUUACAGGUACGGGCUCUGAGAGGAGAAGCCCGGAGAUGGGUACUGAGACAAGGACCCAGGCCCUAUGGGGCGCAGCAGGCGAGAAAACUUUGCAAUGUGCGAAAGCACGACAAGGUUAAUCCGAGUGAUUUCUGCUAAAGGAAUCUUUUACCAGUUCUAAAAAUACUGGCGAAUAAGGGGUGGGCAAGUUCUGGUGUCAGCCGCCGCGGUAAAACCAGCACCUCAAGUGGUCAGGAGGAUUAUUGGGCCUAAAGCAUCCGUAGCCGGCUCUGUAAGUUUUCGGUUAAAUCUAUAUGCUCAACGUAUAGGCUGCCGAAAAUACUGCACAGCUAGGGAAUGGGAGAGGUAGACGGUACUCGGUAGGAAGGGGUAAAAUCCUUUGAUCUAUCGAUGACCACCUGUGGCGAAGGCGGUCUACCAGAACAUGUUCGACGGUGAGGGAUGAAAGCUGGGGGAGCAAACCGGAUUAGAUACCCGGGUAGUCCCAGCUGUAAACGAUGCAGACUCGAUGAUGCAUUGGCAUAAUAGCCAGUGCAGUGUCGCAGGGAAGCCGUUAAGUCUGCCGCCUGGGAAGUACGUACGCAAGUAUGAAACUUAAGGAAUUGGCGGGGGAGCACCACAAGGGGUGAAGCCUGCGGUUCAAUUGGAUUCAACGCCGGG
rnacentral:rRNA from 1 species